rnacentral:tRNA from 1 species
GCCGCUUUCGUCUAAUGGUCAGGACGCUAGGUUCUCAACCUAGUAACACGGGUUCGAUUCCCGUAAGCGGCA